CCUGAGUGUGUGAAUGUGUCCCAGAUGCUGGGUUUUCUUCCAUCCUCUGCAACCGCACCUUCAAUCUGGAUAAUCAGCCGAAUGUUCAGGCUGCCAAAACCAGAAAGAAGUAGCCAGAAGAGAAGUUAACCUGGUGACAUCGAAAGGAGGUCGACGAAAGAGACUGGUGAGAAAAUGGCAUUUGGGUUGUUUCCUAACGACUAUAUGCAUGGGACGAAUACGCCAUCGUCAGGAAAACGAAGCAUAGACAUAAGCUGCCGGUGACUGGUUACUUAAGUUGGAUCGAGUUUAGGGAUAUGCAAACAUUAAAAAGAAAGUUUGUGUUGGUGGGAGAUGGACCCUGUAUUCCACCAUGUCCAUUACUUUCUUGCACGCCCUGUUCCACCCGUCCGAUGGAUGGCUCAGUUCACUUUGUAGGUGUAGGACCCGUCACGUGUGAACAAAAAAUGUCGUCAUGGAAAAGGCGAAGGAGCAGGUGAAGGAAAAUAACACCCGGAAAAGGUAAAAACGCACCAAUAGGUAAUCGGUACGCAAAUGCAACCUCUCUAAUGUUUCCUUUAAAGGUAAAGUGGGGAUUUUUCGUUGUUUCUAUGUAUGAAGGUGAGAUGAACGUGUGGUGGUGCUAGAAAGAGGAUAUGGACCAAGAAGCCAGCAUAUACUUGGCAGCAAUUUCUU